rnacentral:rRNA from 1 species
UACGUAGGGUGCGAGCGUUAAUCGGAAUUACUGGGCGUAAAGCGUGCGCAGGCGGUUCGUUGUGUCGGUGGUGAAAGCCCCGGGCUUAACCUGGGAAUGGCCAUGGAAACUGGCGAACUGGAGUCCGGUAGGGGAGCGUGGAAUUCCUGGUGUAGCGGUGAAAUGCGCAGAUAUCAGGAGGAACACCAGCGGCGAAGGCGGCGCUCUGGGCCGGAACUGACGCUGAGGAGCGAAAGCGUGGGUAGCAAACAGG